GUCUAGCUGGUUAGGAUUCGUGGCUCUCACCCACGCGACCGGGGUUCGAGUCCCCG
rnacentral:tRNA from 1 species